AGCAAAACCUCGCUAGCGUUUAGAAGAAAUUGCUAAACCGCCAGCCUUCGUCUGGGCGGGGACCAGUUGGAAAUUUUAAUGGUUUACAGUUUCAACUUUACAGUGAUCACAUUGCUCUGCUUAGGGUUUUAAAUCGACUUCCAAAACCCUUCAAAACCUAGCAUCUCUCUCUCUGCAACGGUAUCAGGUGUGCAUGCUGAAAGGUUGUGGACGAUUUGGCAUCAUGCAUGCUACAAAGGGUGGCUGGUUAAGCCGCCAAACAUAUGCCCUAGCAAAGAGCAAUGAGUCUGGAGGGAGGAAGUCUCGUAUUCGGCGUUCAAAGGAGGAGAGAAAGGAAAUGGUUGAAUCCUUUAUAAAGAAGCACCAGAGCUUAAAUAAUGGGAAUUUUCCCUCUCUAAAUCUUACACACAAAGAAGUUGGUGGGUCUUUCUACACAGUAAGAGAGAUUGUUAGAGAAAUAAUCCAAGAAAACAGGGUGCUGGGCCCAGCUAAGGAUUUGCCCGAGGAAGAGGAUGCUGAUAGUUUAUUGGUGAAAUACCCAUUGGGUACAAUUUCUACAGAACCUGAAGCUUCUCUGCCUAUUUCACCAAAUGGAAGUGCUUUUGCAUCUGAUCAGAAUCAGAAUACAAGCAAAGAGCCUAACUUAAUUUCUGAUGGGCUUAGUGCUGAAACUGAGCGUCAGUGGUUUGAAAAGGAGAAAACCAUUAAUGGGAGUUACAUAAAUGUACCAAAUAAAGAAUGUGAUGAAAUAAAAGUUGCAAAGACUCAAGAAAGUGAAGCAGUGCAAGAAAAGGAAGUUAUGGAAGAGGUGGCGGCCUCUAGGACUAAAGUGAUUCAGAUGGCAGAUAUAAUUGUAGAAACAUUUCCAUUACGGCCUGUCGCUCAACCAUUUGAUAACGUGGAUGCAAAGUCUAGUGAAUUAACGGGUUUGAAUGGAACCACGGUAGAAAAAGAUGUUGAAGUACCCCUGGGAACAGUAUAUGGUGCUUCUAAAAUAGAUGAAAUGAAUUUUUCAAGCAAAUCCUGUUUGGUGGAUGAUAAAGAAGUAGAAAACAUAGCAAGCAAGCUGUUUGAAGGAGACUCCUGUUUGGUGGAUGAAAAAGCCAUGAAAACUGUAGAAAAUGUACCAUUAAAUUCGUUUGCUACCAAAGAUGGCAUUACGGAUGAUACUCAGGUUGACAUAGAUGUUGAAGUGAUAUCAUCUCAUAACAGUAAGGUGAUUACUGAAGCUAAGGUUGUAAAUGCAUCAAAUAGCAACCAUACCGAAACUACUCGUAAUGGCACUCAUGCAAGUACAAGCAACAUUGAGCUUAUCACCCAGAAGGAUGUUAUUGGAAAUAAAGCUGAUGUUCAACCUGGUUGUAGCUCUCAGAAAGGCAAGAAUCCAACAUUAGACAGAAUUAAUAUUAAAUCAUGGGAAGGUGCAUCAAAAAAUCCUGCAGAAUCAGAAACUAACCCAGUGUUGGCUAUUUUUAAAUCUUUUUUGGCUGCAUUCAAGAAAAUUUGGUCUUAAGGAAGUACUUUUGUGUUCGUGUUUGCCUGCAUGAGCGGAUGAAUUCUACAUCUGCCAGAGUAGAGUAGUGAUAUUAUCUAGAUUACAGUAGCAGGUGAAGGUUAUCUGAAUAUGAGAGGAGAGUAUUCUGGCAAUGGAUGCUGGCGGCAGCGGCGGCUGGGAGGAGGACGCCUGCAUUCUCUUUAUGUUGUUUGUGGUCAAUGUGUGAUGAAGUCCGAUAUCUAUAUCA